rnacentral:lncRNA from 1 species
CACUCACCAUCUCUGUCAUCCUAAACCUCCCAAUCAUUGCCCUAACAGUCAUGGUUGUGCUGCUCGGUCGCCUUAGAAAAUUAUACGACAACAACCUUCCCUACCCCACAUCUACACCAAAGUCAAGUUGAACCCUUCUCGGGUUUAUUCACCUUCUUCCCUACCCAACAUCACUCACCAUCUCUGUCAUCCUAAACCUCCCAAUUGUUGCCCUAACAGUCAUGGUUGUGCUGCUCGGUCGCCUUAGAAAAUUAUACGACAACAACCUUCCCCACCCCACAUCUGCACCAAAGUCAAGUUGAACCCUUCUCGGGUUUAUUCACCUUCUUCCCUACCCAACAUCAUUCACCAUCUCUGUCAUCCUAAACCUCCUAAUUGUUGCCCUAACAGUCAUGGUUGUGCUGCUCGGUCGCCUUAGAAAAUUAUACGACAACAACCUUCCCCACCCCGCAUCUACACCAAAGUCAAGUUGAACCCUUCUCGGGUUUAUUCACCUUCUUCCCUACCCAACAUCACUCACCAUCUCUGUCAUCCUAAACCUCCCAAUUGUUGCCCUAACAGUCAUGGUUGUGCUGCUCGGUCGCCUUAGAAAAUUAUACGACAACAAC